rnacentral:rRNA from 1 species
CCNCAUCCAAGGAAGGCAGCAGGCGCGUAAAUUGCCCGAAUCCUGACACAGGGAGGUAGUGACAAGAAAUAACAAUACAGGGCUACAACUAGUCUUGUAAUUGGAAUGAGUACAAUUUACAUCUCUUCACGAGGAUCAAUUGGAGGGCAAGUCUGGUGCCAGCAGCCGCGGUAAUUCCAGCUCCAAUAGCGUAUAUUAAAGUUGUUGCAGUUAGAACGCUCGUAGUCGGAUUUCGGGGCGGGCCGACCGGUCUGCCGAUGGGUACGCACUGGUCGGCGCGUCCUUCCUUCCGGAGACCGUGCCUACUCUUAACUGAGCGGGGGCGGGAGACGGAACGUUUACUUUGAAAAAAUCAGAGUGUUUCAAGCAGGCAGCUCGCUCUUGCAUGGAUUAGCAUGGGAUAAUGAAAUAGGACUUUGGUGCUAUUUUGUUGGUUUCGAACACCGAAGUAAUGAUGAGAAGGGACAGUCAGGGGCACUCGUAUUCCACCGAGAGAGGUGAAAUUCUCAGACCAGUGGAAGACGAACCACUGCGAAAGCAUUUGCCAGGGAUGUUUUCACUGAUCAAGAACGAAAGUUAGGGGAUCGAAGACGAUCAGAUA